GCUGAAUUAACACUGUUUCCACGUCAUUUUAAUUAAAUUAAGUUGAACCAACGUGGAAUAGACAUUGAAUUGACUUCUUUUGCCGAAUGGGUAGCUUCACAAUGACAACGAGCUAGCUAACGUUAGGCACCUAGCUAGAAUUCGUAACAUAUUAUACAUAUUGCUAAUUGGUAAUAUAUUGUACGUUUUGCAAAUUCAUAAAAUAUAAUAUGAAUUAUAAUUUGUCUAAUAUCAUACGAAAUGGUUGAUGGACAUCCACAAAUUAAUUCAUACCAUACGAAAUAUAACAUAUCAUACUAAAUGGAAUGUCUCGGAUUUAAAUACAAAAUAAUAAGAAAUGAUCUGAGGCCAGGUGCACCUACACACACACACACACACACACACACACACAGCAGUAGGCUGUCCAUUGUGUUGACACUGCAGCAGAGAUACACAUUUUGUGUCAACCUGUCACUCAAUCGUUAUAACUUUUAAAAUGUUUUUAUAUUGAGACAUUACAACAAAAACUGAGGGGGCACAAGUUUCAACUGAGGGGGCUAAUCCCUCUUUUGACUAAUCGUGGAACCGGGCCAGCUACAAUUCGGUUAUAUUGUUGGAGACGGUGACAUUUUCUGCUGAAAACCACCAAGAUCAACGGACUAAAGACCCCAAAGAAACCAACUAUCCAAUAGAGAGCUUCUUACUUCAUCCGGGAGGAGAAAGACACAGACCUGUAGACCAGGAGCCCAACAGACCCAUUGCUUCAUACCGAUCUCUCCUUUGUCAAAACAAACAGAAGACCUGCAUAUUUCGAUUUCCAAUGUUUACGGAGGAAAGGACUUACACAUCCAAGAGGAAGUCCUUCCAUCCUCUGAGGAGUCUAUUGACAACAAGACUCCCGUAACACUGAAAAACAAACUCCAUAAACCUAACAACCAACUUCCGACAAGAGCCGCAAAGCGAAGCAAAGCCCAAAACAAACUCAAAACACUCAACAGUAAACAGAAGAGAGGAGUGAAGAGGUGUCCAGUGGAUGGCUGCCAGGUCACCGUCAUUCACUUUCCUCGUCACCUGCGGCAGGUCCAUGAGUGGGGCAGAGAGGAGGCCCAGUCUGAAGUCGGCCUGAGAGCACCAAGCAGACAUGGUGGCAGCAGCAGCAAGGCUAAAAACAACCAUCACUCCAGGCCUUUCCCCAUGACAGGCUGUCAUGAAGUGGUCAAAAGACUGCCAGCCCACCAGAGAAAGCAACACAAGCUUGAAAAGAACUGUCCUCUAUACAGAGAGCUUCUUACAGCGUCACAGAAGAGAAAGAAGGUCAAAUGUCAUUGAAUGAAUUUUAUGAUGUUUACUGUGAAUAAUUAUUCUACCUGAUGUAUUGAAGUUUAAUGAGAAAUAUGUAAUUGAAUUGGGACAUGAUUGAACAAGAGAAUAUUUGGGAAAGGAAUAAAAAAAGCGCUAGAACUGACACAUAGCUCGGCUAACUUCGAUGUCUGUUUUCCUUUAUCUACAGCAGGCCGACUCAGACACCCUUUCUGAGGCCUGUAACAGAUACAGCAUAGAAAAACCAGCAUCAAUUCAUAUCCGAAGUGGUCACACCCAUUUACACACAGACCUUUUUUGUAGGAUGUAAACCUUAUGUAUGUCCAGUGGUGUAAAGUACUUAAGUAAAAAUACUUUAAAGUACUACUUAAGUAGUUUUUUGGUUAUCUGUACUUAACUUUAUUAUUUAUAUUUUUGAAAACUUUUACUCCACUACAUUUCGCUGACACCCAAAAGUACUCGUUACAUUUUGAAUGCUUAGCAGGACAGGAAAAUUGUCUAAUUCACACAGUUAUCAAGAGAACCUCCCUGGUCAUCCCUACUGCCUCUGAUCUGGCAGACUCACUAAACACAAAUGCUUAGUUUGUAAAUUAUGUCUGACUGUUGAAGUGUGCCCCUGG
rnacentral:lncRNA from 1 species